rnacentral:misc_RNA from 1 species
GCUGCGUGCGUGUGCAGCGACGAUUAUGCAUGCGUUCCUCUUCAGAUCUAGGCACAAGUGCAGCUUAGCCUUGGCCGAAACUCGGAUUUCCUGUGCUGCAUACCUACUAGAUGGAAUUUUCUCGUCGAUUAUCGAACGAUCGCCUAAUGCCACCCUUGUUGGUGGCUGCGGGUGAUCCACAAAGCGAUAUUUGUGAUCCUAGGUGCGGAGUACCCGUACUCGUUGUCUAGGCCCACAUUUCUCUGCUCGGACUGAGGGAUUUGGAAUAUGCUGUGGGCAUAGGGUCUUACCCUUGUUUGCCCCAAUAAUUGAAAACAUCCAAACGACGUUCGAUGGUGUGCUGGCUCUAGGGCCCCGCAUCUCGAUGUCCGCGAGGAAUGCUACCU